CCCUUAGAUGUUCUGGGCCGCACGCGCGCUACACUGACGAAUGCAACGAGCUUAUAACCUUGGCCGAAAGGUCUGGGUAAUCUCCAAAUUUCGUCGUGAUGGGGAUAGACUAUUGCAAUUAUUAAUCUUCAACGAGGAAUGCCUAGUAAGCGCAAGUCAUCAGCUUGCGUUGAUUACGUCCCUGCCCUUUGUACACACCGCCCGUCGCUCCUACCGAUUGAAUGGUCCGGUGAAGCGUUCGGACCGUGGCCUUUGGACGGUUCGCCGUCUGUUGGCUGCGGGAAGUUCGUUAAACCUUAUCAUUUAGAGGAAGGAGAAGUCGUAACA
rnacentral:rRNA from 1 species